rfam:Helianthus annuus linkage group 15, whole genome shotgun sequence.
GGAUAAUGACGACUCCAUGUGAUAAGGUCUCGUUCGACGUAAUGGUGAUUAACAGUCACCUUGCCGACCAUCCUGUUAUAUCACCACCCAUAAACUGAAUCC